AUUGAACGCUGGCGGCAUGCCUUACACAUGCAAGUCGAACGGCAGCGCGUCCUUCGGGAUGGCGGCGAGUGGCGAACGGGUGAGUAAAGCAUCGGAACGUGCCCGGUAGUGCGGGAUAGCUCGGCGAAAGCCGGAUUAAUACCGCAUGAGAUCUGCGGAUGAAAGCAGGGGACCCGAAAGGGCCUUGCGCUACUGGAGCGGCCGAUGUCAGAUUAGGUAGUUGGUGAGGUAAAGGCUCACCAAGCCUGCGAUCUGUAGCUGGUCUGAGAGGAUGAUCAGCCACAUCGGGACUGAGACACGGCCCGAACUCCUACGGGAGGCAGCAGUGGGGAAUUUUGGACAAUGGGCGCAAGCCUGAUCCAGCCAUGCCGCGUGCAGGAUGAAGGCCUUCGGGUUGUAAACUGCUUUUGUACGGAACGAAAAGGCUCUUUCUAAUAAAGGGAGUUGAUGACGGUACCGUAAGAAUAAGCACCGGCUAACUACGUG
rnacentral:rRNA from 1 species